rnacentral:tRNA from 1 species
UGUUCUGUGGCUUCGUUGGUUAAAGCGCCGGUCUAGCGAAUACGGAGUCGUGGGUUCGAAUCCCACCAGAACAU